UACGUAGGGUGCAAGCGUUAAUCGGAAUUACUGGGCGUAAAGCGUGCGCAGGCGGUUUUGUAAGUCUGUCGUGAAAUCCCCGGGCUCAACCUGGGAAUUGCGAUGGAGACUGCAAGGCUAGAAUCUGGCAGAGGGGGGGUAGAAUUCCACGUGUAGCAGUGAAAUGCGUAGAGAUGUGGAGGAACACCGAUGGCGAAGGCGGCGAUCUGGGAAGAUACUGACGCUGAGGUGGCGAAAGCGCGGGGAGCAAACAGG
rnacentral:rRNA from 1 species